AAGCGGAGGAACAUGUGGUUUAAUUCGAUGAUACGCGAGAACCUUACCUGGGCUUAAAUGUAGAGUGCAUUGAGAGGAAACUUUCAUUUUCUUCGGAACUCUUUACAAGGUGCUGCAUGGUUGUCGUCAGCUCGUGCCGUGAGGUGUCGGGUUAAGUCCCAUAACGAGCGCAACCCUUAUCGUUAGUUGCCAGCGGGUAAUGCCGGGAACUCUAGCGAAACUGCCGGUGUAAACCGAGAGGAAGUGGGGAUGACGUCAAAUCAGCACGGCCCUUAUGUCCAGGGCUACACACGUGUUACAAUGGCCGGUACAGAGGGCAGCUACCUGUUGACAGGAUGCGAAUCUCGAAAGCCGGUCUCAGUUCGGAUCGGAGUCUGCAACCCGACUCCGUGAAGCUGGAUUCGCUAGUAAUCGCGCAUCAGCCAUGGCGCGGUCGAAUACGUUCCCGGGCCUU
rnacentral:rRNA from 1 species